rnacentral:rRNA from 1 species
CUUGACGACCAAAGCAAGGUGGUCCCACUCCUUCCCAUCCCGAACAGGACAGUGAAACGCCUUUGCGCCGAUGAUAGUGGACGGACGUCUGUGAAAGUAGGUCAUCGUCAAGC